rnacentral:rRNA from 1 species
AUCUUCUUUGAAGGUAUGCUUAAGGAGGGGCUUGCGACACAUUAGUUAGUUGGCAGGGUAAAGGCCUACCAAGACUAUGAUGUGUAGCUGGACUGAGAGGUUGAACAGCCACAUUGGGACUGAGACACGGCCCAAACUCCUACGGGAGGCAGCAGUAGGGAAUUUUCGGCAAUGGAGGAAACUCUGACCGAGCAACGCCGCGUGAACGAUGAAGUACCUCGGUAUGUAAAGUUCUUUUAUUAAGGAAGAAAAAAGAGUGGAAAAACUCCCUUGACGGUACUUAAUGAAUAAGCCCCGGCUAAUUAUGUGCCAGCAGCCGCGGUAAUACAUAAGGGGCGAGCGUUAUCCGGAAUUAUUGGGCGUAAAGGGUGCGUAGGCGGUUUAAUAAGUCUAUAGUUUAAUUUCAGUGCUUAACGCUGUUGUGCUAUAGAAACUGUUUUACUAGAGUGAGAUAGAGGCAAGCGGAAUUCCAUGUGUAGCGGUAAAAUGCGUAAAUAUAUGGAGGAACACCAGAGGCGUAGGCGGCUUGCUGGGUCUUUACUGACGCUGAGGCACGAAAGCGUGGGGAGCAAACAGGAUUAGAUACCCUGGUAGUCCACGCCGUAAACGAUGAGUACUAAGUGUCGGGUAAAACUGGUACUGAAGUUAACACAUUAAGUACUCCGCCUGAGUAGUACGUACGCAAGUAUGAAACUUAAAGGAAUUGACGGGACUCCGCACAAGCGGUGGAUCAUGUUGUUUAAUUCGAA